AUUAGUCGGUAGGCUACAGAAGAGCAGAUAACAUAUGAAGUAUGAAAUAUUACUUAACUUACUGUGUGUUACCGUGCGUACUGUGUUGACGCUACAUGUAUAUUCUUUUCACAUUAAAUAAACUAAAAUAUACUGACAGUUAUACAAGUUGUAGGAAUGUACCGAUGUACACAGGCCAACAUUUUGACAGGUGUUUCUGAAUUGAUAACAAAUACCAGUGAAGACACACCCUGAUGUAUAAACUAGAUCUUCAAGUUUAAAAUAAUUAAUUUGUGAUAUAUGACCAUACAUGGGGAGAAUGAUUGUGCCGUUGUAGGAUUGGCUGCAUGAGAUCAAGACGGAGAGUAUAAAAAAAAAGAGGGGACAGAAGUUUCCGCAGAGGUCUUUUCUCUUGGACAGAGUUCACACCAGCUUACGCCGAAUUUACACAGCGACAUCACCAACACUGCCGGAACCGCCAUAGAUUCAGAAGCAGCUGUAGAAUCGGAGUAUCCACCAUCCCGCUGAGAAAUCCAGAGCAUCGAAACGCCAAGAGAAACACAAGAUGGCUGCUCGUGAAUUUGAAUUCUCUAGAAGAUGUGACAAGGACACGCUCCAAGAGAGACAGCUGCAUGAGAAUAAAGACACGCUCUUUAAUAGUAGACGUACAGAUGGUAAAAUGAAGGAUCUUGUUUUCUAUAGUACACAUGUAAGAAAAUGGCAGGAUGUAGUGAAGAGUUGGUAUCCUGAAUUAGAAGAAAUCCAACAGAACGAUAAAAUCAGACUCAAGUCCAGGCAAGGCACCAUAACUUUCUAUUCAAGUGUAACAGUUAAGGUACGUGGCAAAGAUCUAAGGAAGAGGUUUGAGGGAGAUUUUGAAGAAAUGAAAAGCAAAGUCAAGCCACGCUAUGGCCAAAUGGCAGAACAGUCUGAUGAGGAAGAACAGUGUUCUGAGGAAGAACAGUGUUAUGAGGAAGAAUUCCGUUAUGAGCCAAAGUUCACCCCACACUUCUUCCCCCAAGUUUAUUGGAAAUAAUGUCUGAUGAAUAAGUAAAGACAAAAAAAAUAACAUUUCUCGUGCACUAUAUAUCUGUACACUUUCUGUUUCUGGUGUUUAUAUAUCGUUUUGGAUAAAUAUGUAAUGUUAAUGUGUCCUCUGAUUGUGUCUUAUGACCCGAGCACACGUUAGUCUGUCUGCAUGUUAUUGAGGAAGUAAGGAGCAGUCCUGUACUCACUGAGCAGGUGGUAGUUUGAGUCCCUCUCAUAUUUGAAGGUCAGUCUUCCAGAGCUGACAUGGUUGAGAUUCUUCAGACACUCGAAAUAAGACACUGUCACACCGCCAGCAUUCAGGUACAUGUCCUGCAGGAAGAAACAUCACAGAGUCAUCAGACAUCUGCCUGUUCGGUCCUCACUUCUGUGUGUGUAGAAUUAUCUGUGAUUUACCUUGUACUCUUUUUAAAUUUUGAAUUGGGAAUAAAAUGUUUUGUCUUCAACUAAAAGACACUGGAAUAAACUUUAAAU